GAUGAACGCUGGCUACAGGCUUAACACAUGCAAGUCGUGGGGAAACGGCAUUAUGUGCUUGCACAUUCUGGACGUCGACCGGCGCACGGGUGAGUAUCGCGUAUCCAACCUGCCCCUUACUUGGGGAUACCCCGUCGAAAGACGGCCUAAUACCCGAUGUGUUUCAUUGACGGCAUCCGAUAUGAAACAAAGGUUUUUCCGGUAAGGGAUGGGGAUGCGUCUGAUUAGCUAGUUGGCGGGGCAACGGCCCACCAAGGCGACGAUCAGUAGGGGUUCUGAGAGGAAGGUCCCCCACAUUGGAACUGAGACACGGUCCAAACUCCUACGGGAGGCAGCAGUGAGGAAUAUUGGUCAAUGGACGCAAGUCUGAACCAGCCAAGUAGCGUGCAGGAUGACGGCCCUAUGGGUUGUAAACUGCUUUUAUGUGGGAAUAAAGUGGCGCACGUGUGCGCCAUUGCAUGUACCUCAUGAAUAAGGACCGGCUAAUUCCGUGCCAGCAGCCGCGGUAAUACGGAAGGUCCGGGCGUUAUCCGGAUUUAUUGGGUUUAAGGGAGUGUAGGCGGUCUGUUAAGCGUGUUGUGAAAUUUAGGUGCUCAACAUUUAACUUGCAGCGCGAACUGUCAGACUUGAGUACACGCAGCGCAGGCGGAAUUCAUGGUGUAGCGGUGAAAUGCUUAGAUAUCAUGAGGAACUCCGAUCGCGAAGGCAGCCUGCGGGAGUGUUACUGACGCUUAAGCUCGAAGGUGCGGGUAUCGAACAGG
rnacentral:rRNA from 1 species